rnacentral:rRNA from 1 species
AAUAUUGGACAAUGGGCGAAAGCCUGAUCCAGCCAUGCCGCGUGAGUGAUGAAGGCCUNCGGGUUNUNAAGCUCUUUCAGUGGGGNCAAUAAUGACGGUACCCACAGAAGAAGCCCCGGCCAACUUCGUGCCAGCAGCCGCGGUAAUACGAAGGGGGCUAGCGUUGUUCGGAUUUACUGGGCGUAAAGCGCACGUAGGCGGAUUGGUCAGUUAGGGGUGAAAUCCCGGAGCUCAACUCCGGAACUGCCUUUAAUACUGCCAGUCUAGAGUCCGGAAGAGGUGAGUGGAACUCCUAGUGUAGAGGUGGAAUUCGUAGAUAUUAGGAAGAACACCAGUGGCGAAGGCGGCUCACUGGUCCGGUACUGACGCUGAGGUGCGAAAGCGUGGGGAGCAAAC